rnacentral:rRNA from 1 species
UUUUAUUUGAGAGUUUGAUCCUGGCUCAGGAUGAACGCUGGCGGCGUGCCUAACACAUGCAAGUUGAGCGAUUUACUUCGGUAAAAAGCGGCGGACGGGUGCGUAACGCGUGGGUAACCUACCCUGUACACACGGAUAACAUACCGAAAGGUAUGCUAAUACGGGAUAAUAUAUUUGAGAGGCAUCUCUUGAAUAUCAAAGGUGAGCCAGUACAGGAUGGACCCGCGUCUGAUUAGCUAGUUGGUAAGGUAACGGCUUACCAAGGCGACGAUCAGUAGCCGACCUGAGAGGGUGAUCGGCCACAUUGGAACUGAGACACGGUCCAAACUCCUACGGGAGGCAGCAGUGGGGAAUAUUGCACAAUGGGCGAAAGCCUGAUGCAGCAACGCCGCGGGAGUGAUGAAGGCCUUCGGGUCGUAAAACUCUGUCCUCAAGGAAGAUAAUGACGGUACUUGAGGAGGAAGCCCCGGCUAACUACGUGCCAGCAGCCGCGGUAAUACGUAGGGGGCUAGCGUUAUCCGGAUUUACUGGGCGUAAAGGGUGCGUAGGCGGUCUUUCAAGUCAGGAGUGAAAGGCUACGGCUCAACCGUAGUAAGCUCUUGAAACUGGGAGACUUGAGUGCAGGAGAGGAGAGUGGAAUUCCUAGUGUA